rnacentral:rRNA from 1 species
UGGAAGUAAAAGUCGUAACAAGGUCUCCGUUGGUGAACCAGCGGAGGGAUCAUUACCGAGUUUACAACUCCCAAACCCCUGUGAACAUACCUAUACGUUGCCUCGGCGGAUCAGCCCGCGCCCCGUAAAACGGGACGGCCCGCCCGAGGACCCUAAACUCUGUUUUUAGUGGAACUUCUGAGUAAAACAAACAAAUAAAUCAAAACUUUCAACAACGGAUCUCUUGGUUCUGGCAUCGAUGAAGAACGCAGCAAAAUGCGAUAAGUAAUGUGAAUUGCAGAAUUCAGUGAAUCAUCGAAUCUUUGAACGCACAUUGCGCCCGCCAGUAUUCUGGCGGGCAUGCCUGUUCGAGCGUCAUUUCAACCCUCAAGCUCAGCUUGGUGUUGGGACUCGCGGUAACCCGCGUUCCCCAAAUCGAUUGGCGGUCACGUCGAGCUUCCAUAGCGUAGUAAUCAUACACCUCGUUACUGGUAAUCGUCGCGGCCACGCCGUAAAACCCCAACUUCUGAAUGUUGACCUCGGAUCAGGUAGGAAUACCCGCUGAACUUAAGCAUAUCAAUAAGCGGAGGA